rnacentral:rRNA from 1 species
UGAUUCCUACGGGGCGCAGCAGUGGGGGAUAUUGCACAAUGGGGGAAACCCUGAUGCAGCGACGCCGCGUGGGCGAAGAAGUAUUUCGGUAUGUAAAGCCCUAUCAGCAGGGAAGAAGAAAUGACGGUACCUGAAGAAGAAGCCCCGGCUAACUACGUGCCAGCAGCCGCGGUAAUACGUAGGGGGCAAGCGUUAUCCGGAUUUACUGGGUGUAAAGGGGGCGCAGACGGCGAUGCAAGCCAGGAGUGAAAGCCCGGGGCCCAACCCCGGGACUGCUCUUGGAACUGCGUGGCUGGAGUGCAGGG